CAAAUAUUGAACUAAACUGUUGAGUAAAUUUAGUAGUUCUGUGCUUUAGAAUCUUCUCCCUAUUCUUUUCUUCACAGCUUGAAAAAAAAAUGGAGACAUCAAUUUUGACAUACCUACAAAUUCAGCACCGGAUAAAAAUUACUUUAGGAUAUCUACCUCCUCUCCCAUGCCACAUUUGUCAUUGGUGAUUGUGAGUAUUAGCUACUACAGUGUAUCCAACUUUGCUGAAACCCUGCAGAAGGGAAAUCUGAACUCGUUGCGACUCUGUCUCGGUAAUUACUUAUCUCCGGAGAAAUAAUUCGCUCGGCUGAUUUAGACGCUUUCAGAAACAUCCCGCACAUGUAAAAUGAAAAUGGUUUGAGAGAUUUUCCAGCGCUUGAGGUCAAUCUCAAAAAACAUGAAAGUCGACAUUCGCUUUGAGAGCUACAGAAUUGUAUCAGCAAAACUGAAAUAACACCAACAAUCCCAAUGCCUGGAGGAAUUAGGGGCCAAAAU